GAUGAACGCUGGCGGCGUGCCUAAUACAUGCAAGUCGAGCGAACGGACGAGAAGCUUGCUUCUCUGAUGUUAGCGGCGGACGGGUGAGUAACACGUGGAUAACCUACCUACAAGACUGGGAUAACUUCGGGAAACCGGAGCUAAUACCGGAUAAUAUUUUGAACCGCAUGGUUCAAAAGUGAAAGACGGUCUUGCUGUCACUUAUAGAUGGAUCCGCGCUGCAUUAGCUAGUUGGUAAGGUAACGGCUUACCAAGGCAACGAUGCAUAGCCGACCUGAGAGGGUGAUCGGCCACACUGGAACUGAGACACGGUCCAGACUCCUACGGGAGGCAGCAGUAGGGAAUCUUCCGCAAUGGGCGAAAGCCUGACGGAGCAACGCCGCGUGAGUGAUGAAGGUCUUCUGAUCGUAAAACUCUGUUAUUAGGGAAGAACAUAUGUGUAAGUAACUGUGCACAUCUUGACGGUACCUAAUCAGAAAGCCACGGCUAACUACGUG
rnacentral:rRNA from 1 species